rnacentral:rRNA from 1 species
CCAGACUCCUACGGGAGGCAGCAGUGGGGAAUAUUGCACAAUGGGGGAAACCCUGAUGCAGCAACGCCGCGUGAGUGAGGAAGUAUUUCGGUAUGUAAAGCUCUAUCAGCAGGGAAUAGAAAAGAAGGUACCUGAAAAAGAAGCCCCGGCUAACUACGUGCCAGCAGCCGCGGUAAUACGUAGGGGGCAAGCGUUAUCCGGAUUUACUGGGUGUAAAGGGGGCGCAGACGGCAGCACAAGCCAGGAGUGAAAGCCCGGGGCCCAACCCCGGGACUGCUCUUGGAACUGCGCGGCUGGAGUGCAGGAGGGGCAGGCGGAAUUCCUGGUGUAGCGGUGAAAUGCGUAGAUAUCAGGAGGAACACCGGUGGCGAAGGCGGCCUGCUGGACUGCGACUGACGUUGAGGCCCGAAAGCGUGGGUAGCCAACAGGAUUAGAUACCCCAGUA